GAUGAACGCUGGCGGCGUGCCUAAUACAUGCAAGUCGAGCGAACGGACGAGAAGCUUGCUUCUCUGAUGUUAGCGGCGGACGGGUGAGUAACACGUGGAUAACCUACCUAUAAGACUGGGAUAACUUCGGGAAACCGGAGCUAAUACCGGAUGAUAUUUUGAACCGCAUGGUUCAAAAGUGAAAGACGGUCUUGCUGUCACUUAUAGAUGGAUCCGCGCUGCAUUAGCUAGUUGGUAAGGUAACAGCUUACCAAGGCAACGAUGCAUAGCCGACCUGAGAGGGUGAUCGGCCGCACUGGAACUGAGACACGGUCCAGACUCCUACGGGAGGCAGCAGUAGGGAAUCUUCCGCAAUGGGCGAAAGCCUGACGGAGCAACGCCGCGUGAGUGAUGAAGGUCUUCGGAUCGUAAAACUCUGUUAUUAGGGAAGAACAUAUGUGUAAGUAACUGUGCACAUCUUGACGGUACCUAAUCAGAAAGCCACGGCUAACUACGUG
rnacentral:rRNA from 1 species